AACCUUAUGGACCUGCGGGCGUAUACCUGCGGAGGGAUCAUUACCGAGUUUACAACUCCCAAACCCCUGUGAACAUACCACUUGUUGCCUCGGCGGAUCAGCCCGCUCCCGGUAAAACGGGACGGCCCGCCAGAGGACCCCUAAACUCUGUUUCUAUAUGUAACUUCUGAGUAAAACCAUAAAUAAAUCAAAACUUUUAACAAUGGAUCU
rnacentral:misc_RNA from 1 species